rnacentral:tRNA from 4 species
GUCGGUGUAGCCAAAAGGGAAGGCAGCCCACUGCUAGUGGGUCAUAAGAGAGUUCGAUUCUCUCCGCCGGCU